rnacentral:rRNA from 1 species
UACGAAGGGGGCUAGCGUUGUUCGGAAUUACUGGGCGUAAAGCGUAUGCAGGCGGACUUUUAAGUCGGGGGUGGAAAUCCCGAGGCUCAACCUCGGAACUGCCUUCGAUACUGGAAGUCUUGAGUCCGGGAGAGGUGAGUGGAACUCCGAGUGUAGAGGUGAAAUUCGUAGAUAUUCGGAAGAACACCAGUGGCGAAAGGCGGCUCACUGGCCCGGUACUGACGCUGAGAUACGAAAGCGUGGGGAGCAAAAACAGGAUUGAGAUACCCGUAGGU